rnacentral:rRNA from 1 species
GAUGAACGCUGGCGGCGUGCCUAAUACAUGCAAGUCGAGCGAACAGAUGAGAAGCUUGCUUCUCUGAUGUUAGCGGCGGACGGGUGAGUAACACGUGGGUAACCUACCUAUAAGACUGGGAUAACUCCGGGAAACCGGGGCUAAUACCGGAUAAUAUUUUGAACCGCAUGGUUCAAUAGUGAAAGACGGUUUCGGCUGUCACUUAUAGAUGGACCCGCGCCGUAUUAGCUAGUUGGUAAGGUAACGGCUUACCAAGGCGACGAUAAGUAGCCGACCUAGGAGGGUGAUCGGCCACAAUGGAACUGAGACACGGUCCAGACUCCUACGGGAGGCAGCAGUAGGGAAUCUUCCGCAAUGGGCGAAAGCCUGACGGAGCAAAGCCGCGUGAGUGAUGAAGGUCUUCGGAUCGUAAAACGCUGUUGUUAGGGAAGAACAAAUUUGUUAGUAACUGAACAAGUCUUGACGGUACCUAACCAGAAAGCCACGGCUAACUACGUGCCAGCCGCCGCCGUAA